CUCACACCCUCAGCAGAAACCCAGGAUUCUUGUCUCCUGCAGCAGGACACGGGGCACUUAGUAGGCACCUAAUGCACAUUCAUUGGUCAUCUGUGUCACUGGGCUCUAGUCACUUCCAGGGCCUAUUUAUUCCUCUGGCAUCUUUAGCCACCGUGUGGAUCUGCAAUGUGAUCUACCAGAAACAGUACUGAAUCCCAAAGCAGACACUUGAUAAUUUGGGAACAUGCAAUCCAGAGCAGGAGGCAGAUGUGGAAGCCAACAGCUUCAAAAAGGCAUGGUGAGAGCAAGAAUUCCAGCAGGCAGCGGGCAGUGGAAUACAGGAGGGAGACAUCCAACUGGCCUGGGUAGCCAGGGAAGACUUCUUGGAGGAGGAGACACCCAAGAGAAGUGAUAUUUGGGACAGCAGCAGACGUGUUUCAACCACAACAAGCAACUUACGGUUGACUUCAGGGGAAUCACUGAGACGGCAAAGGAAGCCGUGAAGUCCUGGAGCAUUUGACCUAAUCAAGCCAGCACUUCUUGUUCUGCAGGAAAAUAAAUGCCCCUGAUGGAUGAGGCCCCUUCCUUUGGGCUCUCCCCAUUCAGUUGGGCUGUCUGUUACUUGCAGCCAAAAGCUUCCUUGCCACACAGGUCUUACUUCUAACCUGGUUUGUGUAUUUGCUUCUGACCUUCUCUGUACAUCAGGGAACAGACAUCUAUGAAAGACUUACUACUUGCAAGUACUUUAUGAAGCACCUUACAUAGAUUGUCUCCUUGUUAAUCCUCACCACAAGUCUUCAUAGUCAAAAUGAUAAGCUCUAUGUUUUUUUCUUCAGAAAGAAGCCAAAGCUUGGAAGGGACAAAUAAGAUAGCAACUAAAUGGAGAGGCCAGGAUGUGACUCAGGUCACUCAGUUCACAGUCUAAGUUUCUUCUCCAUAAUUACAGCCCUCAUGAUUCCCCCAUCAUGGAGGGAGAACGGCUGCACAGCCCCCUCCACUGAGGGCCCCAUCCACAGAGGUGAGCCCUCCUCUCCGCCCUCCCCGCCCCUCCCCAGCUGGCCUUCCAUGUUCAGCAUCCUCUAAUUACCCUGGUUCCUGAAUACACAUAACAGUAAUAUUCCCCAAUUGCCUCUUCCUAUAAUUUCAUGUUACAGGUCCCUUCAAAUAGAAAGUCCUUAAUUUUAAUUGCAUAUUACGUUCCCUUUUGGAGGGCAGACAGCUAUUUAUUCCUCCAGUUAAUUGUUCAAGAGACAAAGACAUGGAACAUAUCUCACCAAAUUAAGUAUUUGCUAGUUGCUAUUACUACUGGGGCUACAUUAUACAGCCCUGAUUUCCUUUCUAGGAACUCCUGAGGAAUCUUGGCAUCUUAAAAAAAAUUCUUUGGCUUGGCCUAGCUAUGAUUAUAUAAAAGCCAACAAAUCCUGAUGUUGUAUUAUUACUGGUGAUAAUAAUAGUAAUUAAGACAAUGUAUAGACAUAUAGUCAUAUGCUUUACUCAAUGAGAGAAGAAACGAAGUAAAAAAUGGUGUUCAUUGAAUACCUACUGUGUGGCAGGCACUGGCCUACGCCGGAGAGAAACUCAGCCCACUAGCUCAUCCUCAUCCAAGAAGUUAAGGAACUCUGCGCCUCAUUUUCACAGAUGAGAACUGAAGGGUAGAGAAGAAAAACUGCUUGUCUGCACCAAGUGCACAGCGGAGCAUCAGAACUGGUGGGUUUUGAGUGCAGGCCGGUGUAAGGCUCCUGUAGGGUGACCUCAUAGCCAUCAGCUCCCUCUGGCCUCACUACUUGCACAGGAGAACAAUGCAGGCAUUUCCGUGCUACUUUGUAGAUACGGUCACCUGCAUAAACACGAAAAGAUUUUCCCAAUUUGGUGCAUCAAGCUGUGCAUCAGAAACUGGAUGAAGAAGGUGCCGGUACUUGUGCAAAACAGCCCCCUGAGACUAGGAAGGCUACCUUGUCUACUUCAGAAAGGGUGAGGCUGAGCUCCUGCCUGCACACACAUGCUGGACCUCCCUCCUGGUCUCCCCACCCCAGGCUCCACACAGCCAUGCCCACGGCUGAGGGAGGGAACUUGAGUCACGUUCACCAGACUUAAGACUUCUGGAGUGUUUGUUUGUUUUUGAGAAGAGUCUCACUCUGGCACCCUGAGUAUUGUGCAGUAGCACCAUGGCUCACAGCAACCUUUAGCUCUUGGGCUCAAGCCAUUGUCUUGUGUCAGUUUUUCUAUUGUUAGUAGAGACAGGGUCUCAGUCUUGCUUAGGCUGGUCUUGAACUUCUGAGCUCAAGCAAUCCACCUACCUUGACCUCCCAGAGUGUGAGAAUUACAAUCGUGAACCACCCUGGCCAGACAAGACUUCUUGUUAUUUCCCAGGGAGUCAGUUCUAUAGCUGAACAGGAGACAAUGCCCAGGGAGGGACCAUCGCUUCAUGUAAUUAGUAUGUAAGGAGUCCCCAUCCUUCACACAGGCAGCUGCUGUCACACAGAGAUAUGGAAGGCACAGCUCUGCAGAUCUCCCAGCCCGGGGGAGAGUCCCAGCUCAUCAUGACCUAUGGCCAAAGCAUGGUGCCAAGCAUCGGGAUAGAGGCUUGAGACGUAAAGAAAGGAGAAUGCAGCAAAGAAAAGAUGAGUAGUCAGGGAGGCUGAGAAACAUACUAGCCUGGAGGUAAUUAUCGAGUGCCACUGUGCGCUGGGCAUCUACACACAUGUGCUGAAUCCACCCAGUGCCCCUACAGGCUCAGUCUGUUGACCAUACCUUUACAAAUGUGGAAACUGAGCCUCAGUGAGGUUAUGUCCCUUGCUCACGGCUGCACAGCUAAGCAGUGGCAGUGUUAACAUUCAAGCCCAGAUUGCUGUGACAGCAAAGCUCACUCCCUAUGUGAGACAGCCACCAACCCUGGCCCAGACUGGCAUGUGCAGAAUCUCCACAGCUGAGACUUACUGACAGCUGCGCUGGCACAUCCAUACAUUCACUAGAGUCAUGAAUGACACAAAUGUCCAUUAGGAAGUGACAGCCCCUCCCAAAGAAGCACCAUAGAGGGUCUAGGGCUCUCAAGCAAUCGGACCCCAAAAUGUUAGCAGAGCUAGGUCCGUCAUACAGGAAGGCAGAGGAGAGGACUUUCCUACAGACAGAAAAUUCCUUGUUGGCUAACUCCUGCCUACAAACUGGCCACACUCAUUCCACACACACUUACUCAGCACCAGCUGUGUCCCAGGCACUGUUCUAGGUGGUUAGGAUAACAAGUAGACAAAACAAGGCUGGCCCCGUGGUGCUGAUACACUGAUGGUGGAUGCAGGCAGCUGAAUACCCCCAGUAUCCAUGAGCUCCAAACCCCUGAAGAAAAGCCCAGAGGCCCAAAGACCCUCCCUUCACCUUAGCCUGUCCCCCACCCGCAAUCCUGUACAGUGGGGGAUCAGAGAGGCUGGGCAGGCUUUAUCUGAGGUCAGGCUGAGCCUGUGGCAGAAGUGGGGACAGAACCUCCUGAACAUAUAGGACGUAUAGGUGGACACCUAAUGGGCUUGGUAGCCAAACUCCAUCUCCCCAGGAACCUGGAGGUCCACAAUGGGGGAGUUACCUCCACAAGAGGUCUGUCUCCUGCACUGACCAGGCACACACCCUGUGUCAACCAUGGUCACGCAGCACUGCACCCUCAGUACCUUUACUGAGAAAUGAUUUGCAGGCCAUAAAAUUUAACAGUGUUUUGAACCAACUCAUUAAGGGGUCAGACCUUUUGAGGUAUGGAAACAAGAUGCCAGGAGAGAGAGAUGUCUUUAGUUUCAAGAGGGUCAGUGCAGACUUAAGCUCUGGGCUGCUCGUGAACUGGGAAGGGGACAGGGGGGUGGCAGGGGCAUACCACCCUGGUUGUACCACGCAAGAACCAGGUAAGAAAUGGCUCUGCCACUCCUCAGCUCUGUUCGUUUGGGUAAAAUCAUUGACCUUCUGUGAACCUCAGUGUUCCCAUCUGUAAAGCUGAGCCAAGGAAAUAGGCACCUGCCUCAGAGACCUGCUGGACAGAUGAAAUGAAACAGGGUCUGGCUCCAGGCUCUCAGCAGCAUCAUUCAGAAUAGAAAAGCUGCAACCCCUUGCUUCUAAGGACCCACAGUUGAAAACAUCAUACUCCCAGGCUACCCCUUGCCUUCUUUCUCCACGGAGCUGGCAGCUUCGCUUUGGAAACCAGGUGUUCACAUACCCCCACUACUGGAAUCCAAGGAGAGAAGGAAGGAGGGGGACAAGCCGUGGAGGAAUAGCUGCAGCCGCUGCUUGGGCAGCAGAGGUUUCUGUGCAGGCCAGGUUUAUGAGCAGGGAGCAGGAUCGUCAUGGUGAUAGGGCCCCGGCAGUGGAGGCACCACACUCUGCAGGAAGCUGGGGCGGGGCGGGGAGGGGCUCAAGUGCUCAGUAGAGGUCACAGGGAGCCUCAGGACAGGAGACAGGUGACAGGCGAGAGGAGAAGCAGCGGUAGUUACCAGCUGGUCCUUCCGCUCAGUGCUGAGAGACUCAGGUCCUGCAUUCAUAUAUCCUGUACACCUGCAUUGGGCCUGAUGUCAUGUGCCUUCAACUAGAUCUAAGCAACUGGAGACAGACACAGCAACUGUCUCUCCAGCCAGAGCCCCCGGGGGCAGGGCCUGGGUGCAUGCAGGGGACACUGGCCUUGUGGGAGGAGUUCCAGGUAGGG